ACUCCACCAACUUAACUUGUUUCCACCCCAUCUUCAGGUGUACUGUGGAUAUUUCUGGGUUCUACAUGAAGCUGGCUGCACAUUCGUCAUUGGCUGCAACGGGGAGUGUAACACACAGAAACACAGUUCGUCUUGCCGGCUGGCAGCAGCUAAGAAUUUUGCUCUCGCUGGUCCCAGCGUAAGCGGGUAAGGGCGUUGAGCCCCUGGAUGGCGUCAGCAGCGUUCCUGAGUUAUCUCCUGGAGCUGCAGGUCAUCACAACAACAGGCAAGGAGAGGCACCUGCUGUGGUCCCUGGCAGUGGCCACAGGCAACGAUCUGUCCCAGCAGAGACACUCAGCAGCCCCGAGGGAGAGUCGAGUUGUGAAUUUCGUCACUGGCACACUGACAUAAAUCGAGUAGAGCUUGAAUGUCACUAGCUAUUUGCUGGCUCUGGUGGUCUUUCCCAGACACGAGCCUCUGGACUCCAUGACAACAGCUCUGCAGAGUGUCAGAUUUCAAGGUGGGGCUGCCAAGUGACCCCAAGCAACCUGUAGGCAGGUAGCCUCUUGUAACCAGAAAGGGCUGUGUUCACAGCAGAGUGACCCCCAGAAAGAGCAUCCUGGAGCCCGAUUCCUUCACUCUCACUCUGCUGUCUCUUACCCUGUUCAUCCACAUGGUGAUUGAGAGGCACAUGGACAGGACCACAGGGUGUCAACUAUGAUAAUUAAUCCCCCUCCCCCAGGCCUCUGAAUGCACUGACCAAAGGAAAGGAUUCCAAAUAAAACUGGAUGUUUUCAUGAAAUCAACUUUAACUCUGCAGAGAUCACACCCAAUUCUCAAAGGAUCAAAAGCUGUGUGUGGAUUAUUUACUGCUUGGCAAGCAUCUGGCCACCCAAUCACCAGCACUGGGGAAAAUGAUCAAGUGUUCAAAAAUCCUCUGGGAUGAGUCCAGAGGGAUUUUUUUUUUUUUCCCACAAGGAGAUGGAAAGAAAAACAGACACUUUCCCAAAAGAAAGUGUGAGUGUGGGAGGAACAUUUGGUUUCUUAGAAUCAACUCAACAAACAUCAUUGACAGGUCACAGGAAUCUUUGUUCUUAAGUACACUGGAGAUGAGCCAGAGAGUGCGAGCAGGCCAAGCAAUUCAAUCAGAGAUAUGCUAUUUUGCAGGUCUGAGCCCAGAACUCUUGAGCAAGUGGAAUUGAAGGUCUGAUUGACGUUAGCCAGCAGUGUUUAUUGCAAAGAGCCCUGAUAAAUCAGCAGCGACCAGGAGUGGUAAGCAGGUCUGUGCCAUCUGAGCCACAUUGUCCACCCUCUCUGAGCUCUCAUUGUUCAUAUCUAAAAUAAGAAUUUGGACCAUCUAUCCACAGACAUGCAGUAUGUUCUGUAAGGGGAAGGGAGUCUGCUGGUACCUUCGGCUGGAGACCAGAGAUGCUGCAAAGCAUCCUAUGUUGUAUGGAACAUCCCCAUGGAAAGAGAGAGGGAUGGCCUCAAAUUUUAAUCAUGCUGAGGUUGAAAAACCUGAUUUAAACUAUAGUGGAUGACAUUUUCAAUAAGUAAAUUCCAACUUAAACUUCCUUCAGAUAGCUCAGUACAUUUCUUCCAUUUCAGAUCACUUGUUUUUAAAUUGUCCCCAAUUAUUUAUCCUAAAU
rnacentral:lncRNA from 1 species